GCUCAGCAUGCUGUAGGACAGAAAGAGCACAGACAGCAAGAGACCUGAGAGGCUGAAGGAGCCCUGUGGAAGGGAGGCUCUUGGACUUAGCAGAAAUCACACAGGAACAGAUGUGUCCCUGCCCAACUUUCUCUCCAGAGGAGCCCCAAACCUGAAGAAAUUUGACAGUUCUUCCCAGUCGCCCAGCCAGACUCAACUUGAAAGCCCCACCGACGGAGUCAUCAGGAGAGUCCCGGACUCUGCAGCCUUCAGCCCUGACCACCUGGCCACACUGUGCCUGGGAGGCCCCUCAGGGGCCACCCCUCAUCUCUAUGCAUGUCAUCAGGAGAGCUCCUGCCCUGGACUUCAACCGCAUUUGGAUGUUAAAAAAACUACAGAUGGCAUUGUGGUUCCAGGCUAAUUGCACCAUAUUUAUCCAAUAAUCGAUUCUCAUUAUGCACUCGUCAAACGCUUAUGGAAACAAGUGGCUGCUCUGUCCCUAUGCCUGUAAGGUCUGGUUCAUAAAAAUGGACCAAAAACCCCCCAAACAAACAAACAAACAACAACAACAAACUAAAAAGAGGAAAACUGUUAGGCUGAGAGUGGUCUUGGGACCAGGAGGCAGGACGUAAAAGGGAAGAAGCAGCCUGUCCAGUCUCUGGACUACCCUACCCUUGACUGCUGCCCCGCCCU
rnacentral:lncRNA from 1 species